rnacentral:rRNA from 1 species
AUUGAACGCUAACGGCAUGCUUAACACAUGCAAGUCGAACGGCAGCACAGCAGUAGCAAUACUGUGGGUGGCGAGUGGCGGACGGGGGAGUAAUGUAUAGGAAUCUGCCUUGUAGUGGGGGAUAACCGGGGGAAACUCGGGCUAAUACCGCAUAAUCUUUACGAAGCAAAGCGGGGGACCGUAAGACCUUGCGCUAUAAGAUGAGCCUAUAUUGGAUUAGCUAGUUGGUGGGGUAAAGGCCUACCAAGGCGACGAUCCAUAGCUGGUCUGAGAGGAUGAUCAGCCACACUGGGACUGGGACACGGCCCAGACUCCUACGGGAGGCAGCAGUGGGAAAUAUUGGACAAUGGGGGAAACCCUGAUCCAGCAAUGCCGUGUGUGUGAAGAAGGCCUUCGGGUUGUAAAGCACUUUUAGUGGGAAAGAAAAGCUCAAAGCUAAUAACUUUGAGCCUUGACGUUACCCACAGAAAAAGCACUGGCUAACUCUGUGCCAGCCGCCGCAGUAA